rnacentral:rRNA from 1 species
GAUGAACGCUGACAGAAUGCUUAACACAUGCAAGUCGAUGGGGAAGUGGUGCUUGCACCAUGGCAACCAUGGCGGACGGGUGAGUAACGCGUAAGGGACUUACCUGCAGGACUGGGAUAACAGGGGGAAACUCCUGACAAGACCGGAUAAUGUCAUGGAGCUGCAUGGCUUUAUGAUGAAAGGAGACGCCUGCGGAGAGCCUUGCGUCCUAUUAGCUAGUUGGUGAGGUAAUGGCUCACCAAGGCGAAGAUAGGUAGCCGGCCUGAGAGGGUGGACGGCCACAAGGGGACUGAGAUACGGCCCUUACUCCUAUGGGAGGCAGCAGUGGGGAAUAUUGGACAAGGGGGGCAACCCUGAUCCAGCAAUUCUGUGUGCACGAAGAAGGUUUUCGGAUUGUAAAGUGCUUUCAGCAGGGAAGAAGUAAGUGACGGUACCUGCAGAAGAAGCGACGGCUAAAUACGUG